rnacentral:rRNA from 1 species
GCGGAUGGGUGAGUAACACGUGGGUAACCUGCCCUAAAGUCUGGGAUACCACUUGGAAACAGGUGCUAAUACCGGAUAACAACAAUAGCUGCAUGGCUAUUGCUUAAAAGGCGGCGAAAGCUGUCGCUAAAGGAUGGACCCGCGGUGCAUUAGCUAGUUGGUAAGGUAAUGGCUUACCAAGGCGACGAUGCAUAGCCGAGUUGAGAGACUGAUCGGCCACAUUGGGACUGAGACACGGCCCAAACUCCUACGGGAGGCAGCAGUAGGGAAUCUUCCACAAUGGGCGAAAGCCUGAUGGAGCAACGCCGCGUGAGUGAAGAAGGUUUUCGGAUCGUAAAGCUCUGUUGUUGGUGAAGAAGGAUAGAGGUAGUAACUGGCCCCUAUUUGACGGUAAUCAACCAGAAAGUCACGGCUAACUACGUGCCAGCAGCCGCGGUAAUACGUAGGUGGCAAGCGUUGUCCGGAUUUAUUGGGCGUAAAGCGAGCGCAGGCGGAAAGAUAAGUCUGAUGUGAAAGCCCCCGGCUUAACCGAGGAAUUGCAUCGGAAACUGUGUUUCUUGAGUGCAGAAGAGGAGAGUGGAACUCCAUGUGUAGCGGUGGAAUGCGUAGAUAUAUGGAAGAACACCAGUGGCGAAGGCGGCUCUCUGGUCUGUAACUGACGCUGAGGCUCGAAAGCAUGGGUAGCGAACAG